rnacentral:tRNA from 1 species
UUAAAAUUAGUUAACAUAUAACAUAAGUUUGUCAAACUUAAAUAAUCUAGUAGAUAUUUUUUG